CUUUCUCUACACGACGCUCUUCUGCCCCUCGUUCUUGUUAGCUGUAUGGAAUCGUCGCGAUUAUUUUUGAAAAGGAACGGGAACAGUCACGUUUUUACGUUUGUUUAUCGCGUAAACCACGCGUCUUCGUAUUCAUGCGAUAACACCCACGACUUCCGAUUCCACUCACGCUUAUCGAAUUUUAUACUAUUAAUCAACAUGUGGUGAACGAGAGAAUAAUCUUUAGUAUAUAUAGAUAGAUUGUCAUCUCGUCUUGAUCUCCGUGAAACUCUUAGGCGAGCUUUCACUAUCCAAUCAGAUACUUUCUUUAUUGCUUUAUAACCAAUCCCGUGUCGACUUCACAAAUGUUUGCAUCGCGCGUUUCUUUUUACUGUCUUUUCAUUCUUAUUUAUA